rnacentral:misc_RNA from 1 species
UACGAAGGGUGCAAGCGUUGCCCGGACUUAUUGGGCGUAAAGUGUUUCGCAGGCGUCUUGGUAAGUUAUUCUUUAAAGCCCGGGGCUUAACCUCGGAAAGGGGAGUAAUACUACCAGGAUUGAAGGGUACUGGGGCAACUGGAAUUGUCGGUGUAGGGGUGAAAUCCGUUGAUAUCGACAAGAACUCCGAAGGCGAAGGCGGGUUGCUAAGUACUUCUUGACGCUCAUGAACGAAAGCUAGGGGAGCGAAAGGG